rnacentral:lncRNA from 9 species
GGCAGCUCAAUGCAGCGCGCGGCCCUGGCCGCUGACUUCGCGUCGCUGGAGUUCUUGGGCCGCGACUUGGCCCUUAGAAGUGGUCUCCGCCGCUUAACGCCGGGCACUUGGUGAAAAGUCGGCUGGUCUCCCGUAGGGCUAGGAAUUGUAGGGAAACACACGUGCCUCCAGGCACCUCUUAACACCUGGUCUGUAUUUUGGGCGGUCGCUGCCCUAAAACCUACCCUGCUUGAGGCGACGGCUGGGGUCGGAGCCCUGCAGCUGCGCGUGGCCUUGCUGCCACGUGGCCUCUGGGGAAGGCGUGCGUCCGCCCGCGGCUGCAGCCGGGCCCUGCCUGGUGCUGGGGGUCUCCCGUGAUCCGCCGGCCUCGGUGGGAAGCGUCCUCGCGCUUCUGGAGGCCUCUUUUCUUUAGCUUCACCUCAGCUUCCUCUACCUGCGCUUUUGCUGUUUCCUGCUUCCCUCUCACAGAAGGAGACGGAAUGGAAGCCGUCCCUGUCCUUGCAUAGUUUUCAUCGCAGGAGUUUCCUCAAACUUGUCCUUUAAUCGUUUGUUCGGGCGCCUGCUUUAGGACCUAGUCGUUACGAGCCCUGGGUUGGGAACACCCAGUCUGAAGAGCUGAGUUUGAAUUCAGACUCCGCCGCUUUUGCUGUGUGAUUCGGGGUGAACAACUUCUCUGAGCCUCGCUUUUCCUCACCUCUGUACCUGGGGAUGCGGGGAGUACCCCUCUCCGCGGACGGUUGGAUGGGAGUAACGAUGGAACAUGACCUACCAUCUGGGCCCUUGUGGAUCCAACACAGCCCGAGCCAUGUCCUGAAAGCCACUGGAGACCUGGAGCUGGAACAGCAAGCAGAGGGAGGGCCCCGCAUCGGGAAUGUACCUGGUCAGCGCUGGAGAAGGAAAGUGCUGGUAGAAACGGCCCUCGAUUUCCCUCUUCAUUGGCGUGCCUCCAUUGCCGAGAACACGUAGAAAUUGUUUGUCUAGGUUACGUUUGGGGGGGUCGUUGAGUUGAAGGGAGUCUUUAUUCCUGAGACCUGAGGAAGGAGGUUGGUGCCGUGCUGGGGAAUGUUCGAGGGGAAAAACCUGUCUAGGAGAGAGCAGUGUAAAUUCUUCUUCUCUUCGUGGAAGGGGAAAAAAAGGGUUAAAAAUCUAGCAUGCAAAUGGGGUAUCGUGCCAGAGUUAGGUAAUGAUUUAUGCAGUUCGUACCAGGGAGUGCAUCCGUCAUUUUAUUUGACAGGUGGCAUUUUUAUUUCUUCAGCAGACUUAGAGAGCUUUAGAGUCAUUACAGCUUUGCGAAGUAGUGUGGCAGUCGUUGGAUCAUGACUGAGUGAGUCAUUAGAUCAUGCAUUUUGCCUGAUUACAUCAACCCACUGGGUUAGUGGGGAUGAAAGAAGCUCUUCAUCAAAAUCGUCCUCUGGAUUAUAUAGAUUAAGGAAGACGAAUCGAACUUCUGAGAAUUAGCUUUCACAAAAUGGUAAAAAUGGGGUGGAAAUUAAAAAAAUUGGUUCCAGAGCAGGAAUGAUCAGGGAAAGUUUUCUAUUUUUAAAAACUAUCAGAGAUUAAAGGAACAGUAAUUUUGGAAGAUACAAAUAGUUGGAAUCCAUGUCGAGUUUUUUAAAAGCUACUUUGAGGUAUAAUUUAUAGGUCAUAAAAUUCACCUAAGUAUACAAUUCGACACAUAUUAGUUAAUUUACAGAAUUAUGCCGUCAUCACCGCAAUUUAGGUUUGGAACAUGUUCAUGACCUGAAAGAGAUUCCCGGUGCCCACAUAUGCAGUCAGUCUUAGUGGCCACUCCUAGGCCCCGGUGAACACUCUUCUUGACAGUUCUACAAGUUUGUGUUGUCUGUCCAGUUCACAUAAAUGAAUCCUACAACAUGGGACCUUUUUGGGUCUGGCUUCUUUCACUUAGCAUGGUGUUUCUGAGGCUCAUCCGUAUGUAGCAUAUAUCAGUACUCCAUUCCUUUUUAUGGCUGAAUAAUAUUCCACCACAAUUUUGGUAUACUACGCUUUGUCUGUCCAUUUACCAGUCUCCAGUUUGUGGCUGUUGUGAAUAAUGCCGCUGUGAAAAAUUGGGAGACUGUGUGUGGAAACAGAUUUUCAUUUCUCUUGGGGAAUGACAACCACUUGGGAGUGAAAUUGCCGGGUGGUGUGGUAAAUGCAUGUUUAACAUUUUAAGAAACUGCCAAACUGUUUUCCGAAGCGGCUGUACCAUUUUAACAUUUUCCCAAGCAGUGUAUGAAAGUUUGAGCUUUCCUCCAUCCGCCCCAAUGCUCGUUGCUGCCUUUUUGAUUACAGUCAUCCCAGUGGACCGGACGUGGUAGUCUGUGGCUUUAAUUUGCGUUUCCUCUAUGGCCGAAAUGACAUGGAGCAUGUUUUCUGAUAGGUAGAAGCUAUUCCUCUUUCUUCUUUCGUGAAAGGUUCAUUCAAAUCUUCUGCCCCAUUUUAAAAUUGCUUUUUAGAAAAUUGAGUUGUAGGAGUUCUUAUUUUGAAUAAGAAUUCUGGAGUUCCUGUCGUGGCGCAGUGGUUAAGGAAUCCGACUAGGAACCAUGAGGUUGCGGGUUCGAUCCCUGCCCUUGCUCAGUGGGUUAAGGAUCCAGUGUUGCCCUGAGCUGUGGUGUAGGUCGCAGACAUGGCUCGGAUCCCGCGUUGCUGUGGCUCUGGCGUAGGGUGGCGCCUACAGCUCCGAUUGGACUCCUAGCCUGGGAACCUCCAUAUGCCGCGGGAGCGGCCCUAGAAAUGGCAAAAAGACAAAAAAAAAAAAAAAAAAAAAAAAAAGAAUUCUUUACCACUGAGAUCAUUUAAUAAGUGUUUCCUCCCAGUCUGUGUCAUGGCUUUUUCAUUCUCAUUGUGCAAAUAGUGUCUUUUGAGCCCCAAACAUCUUAAAUUUUGAUGAAGUCCUGUUGAUUAAUUUUUUCUUUUACGGAUUAUACUUUUAGUGUCACCUCUAAAUAUCUUUGCCUAACCUAAGUUCAUGAAAAUUUUUUCCCUAUGUUUUACUCAAGAAGUUUAACGUGUUAGUUUUUACAUUUGGGUUUAUGCCCUUUUGCACUCAUUUGUAUGUGUCAUGAAGUGAGGGUCUUCAUUCUUCUUUUUACACGCAGACAUCCAGUUAUCUUAAUACCAUUUGUGAUAGGACCAUCCUUUUCUCAUUAAAUUGCUGUGGCACUUUUUGUUGCCUCUCCAUUGACCAUAAACAUAGGUGUCAGUUUGGGGGCUUUUAAUUCUGCCCCGUUGAUCUGUGUGUGUCCUCAUGUUAGCACCAUACUGUCUUGAUUAUCAAAGCUUUCUGGUAAGUUUGGAAAUUGGAAACUCUAAAUCCGUCAACUAUGUUCUUUCUUUUCAAAACCGUUUUGAUAUUUUAGGUCAUUUGCAGGUCCAUAAAGUUUAAACUCGGCUUCUCGGCUUAUGCAUAAUGAAUAUUAGGAUUUGGAUAGAGGUUGCUCUGAACCUGUAGAUCAGUUUGGGAAGAAAUGUAACCUGAACAACAUUGAGGGUUUCGUUUUGGUUUUUAGGGCCACGUGGGCGGCAUCUGGAGGUUCCCAGGCCACAUACGUGUGGAAUCCCAGCCACAUCUGCAACCUACACCACAGCUCACGGCAACGCCUGACCCUUAACGCACUGAUUGAGGCCAGGGAUCAAACCUGCGCCUGAUGGUUCCUGGUCAGGUUUGUUUCCACUGAGCCAUGACGGCAACUCCAACAUUGAGUUUUUUAAUUCGUGAAAAUGGAAUGUCUGUCUAUUUCUAUUUUUUUUUUUUUUUAGUUUUUCUCUGCAAAGUGUAGUUAUUGGCGUACUUUUGCGCUUCUUUGAACGAGGGUAUUGAAUACUUAUAUUUUAAUGUCAUUGGAAAUGGAAUUCUUUUCUUGAUUUUAUUUUCAGGUUAUGUACUAGUAUAUUGAAAUAUAGUUGAUUUUUGCAUAUUGAUAUUUCAUCCUUUGACCUUGCUGAACUCAUUUGCUAGUACUGGUAGGUUUUUUGUGGAUUCUUGUGGUCAUUUUACUUGGAGUUCAUUGUACUUCUUGAAUGUGUAGAUUGUUUUUCCUCAAAUUUGGGAAUUUGGGGGCCUAGUUUUUCUUUAAAUUUUUUUUCCUGCCCCUUUCUCUCUCUCCCCUCCUCCUGGGGCUCCCCUUAUACAU